rnacentral:misc_RNA from 1 species
GAUGAAUAACGCAGCGAAAUGCGAUAAGUAAUGUGAAUUGCAGAAUUCAGUGAAUCAUCGAAUCUUUGAACGCACAUUGCGCCCGCCAGUAUUCUGGCGGGCAUGCCUGUUCGAGCGUCAUUUCAACCCUCAAGCCCCCGGGCUUGGUGUUGGGGAUCGGCGUGCCCUCGCGGCGCGCCGUCCCCUAAAUCUAGUGGCGGUCUCGCUGUAGCUUCCUCUGCGUAGUAGCAACACUCGCACUGGAUCGCAGCGCGGCCACGCCGUUAAACCCCCCACUUCUGAAAGUUUGACCUCGGAUCAGGUAGGAAUACCCGCUGAACUUAAGCAUAUCAAUAAGCGGAGGA